rnacentral:rRNA from 1 species
CCUACGUGUGGCAGCAGUGAGGAAUAUUGGUCAAUGGGCGCGAGCCUGAACCAGCCAAGUCGCGUGAGGGAAGACGGUCCUAUGGAUUGUAAACCUCUUUUGUCGGGGAGCAAAAGACGCCCCGCGUGGCGUUCCGAGAGUACCCGAAGAAAAAGCAUCGGCUAACUCCGUGCCAGCAGCCGCGGUAAUAGGGAGGAUGCGAGCGUUAUCCGGAUUUAUUGGGUUUAAAGGGUGCGCAGGGGGAAGAUCAAGUCACCGGUAAAAUUGAGAGGCUCAACCUCUUCGAGCCGUGGAAACUGGUUUUCGUGAGUGAGCGAGAAGAAUGCGGAAGGCGGGGGGUAGCGGGGAAAUGCAG